UACGUAGGGACCAAGCGUUGUUCGGAGUUACUGGGCGUAAAGGGGUGCGUAGGCGGUUGUUUAAGUUUGGUGUGAAAUCUCCCGGCUUAACCGGGAGGGUGCGCCGAAUACUGAAUGACUAGAGUGCGGGAGAGGAGAGUGGAAUUCCUGGUGUAGCGGUGAAAUGCGUAGAUAUCAGGAGGAACACCGGUGGCGAAGGCGGCCCCCUGGACCGGUACUGACGCUGAGGCGCGAAAGCGUGGGUAGCAAACGGG
rnacentral:rRNA from 1 species